GCCUGGCUGGCUCAGUCAGAAGAGUGUGCGACCCUUGAUGUCGGGGUUGGGGGUUCGAGUCCCACGCUGGGUG
rnacentral:tRNA from 1 species